rnacentral:rRNA from 1 species
UACGGAGGGUGCAAGCGUUGCUCGGAAUUAUUGGGCGUAAAGGGUAGGUAGGUGGUCUCGUUUGUCUGGGUGAAAGCCUUGAGCUUAACUCCGAAACUGCAUUCGAUACUGCCGUGCUUGAGGACUGGAGAGGAGACUGGAAUUACGGUGUAGCGGUGAAAUGCGUAGAUAUCGUAAGGAAGACCAGUGGCGAAGGCGGGUCUCUGGACAGUUCCUGACGCUGAGGCACGAAGGUCAGGGAGCAAACGGG